GACGAAAGCUGGCGGCGUGCUUAACACAUGCAAGUCGAACGAAGUGGCGAACGGGUGAGUAACGCGUAAUCAACCUGCCCUUCAGAGGGGGCCAACAGUUGGAAACGACUGCUAAUACCGCAUACUGAAGGAGGGGAUUGCGUCUGAUUAGCGGGUGGGAGGGGUAACGGCCCACCAAGGGGAUGCUCAGUCGCCGGUCUGAGAGAAUUAACGGGCAAAUGGGGACUGAGACACGUCCCAGACGCCUACGGGAGGAAGCAGGGGGGAAUCUUCCGCAAUGGACGAAAGUCUGACGGAGCAACGCCGCGUUAGUGAUGACGGCCUUCGGGUUGUAAAGCGCUGUUAAUCGGGACGCGGUACCGGAAUAGAAAGCCACGGCUAACUACGUGCCAGCAGCCGCGGUAAUAC
rnacentral:rRNA from 1 species